CGGGGCCGCCCUCCUUCCCACCAGGGCUCUUGUUCACCCAGGGAAUGUUCCAGGCUUUGGGAAGCUCAGCUUUGGCACCUUCCCUCCCUGUCCUUAAGGAAUCCCCAGCCCUGGCUCUCCCAAAACCAGAUCUGGGCCCCAAUAAUAAGACGUGGACGGCCAGCUGAGCACCGUGUUCGCCUCGCUCUGCUCCCCGAUGGCAAAAGCGAUCAGAUGUGACUGGUUGGUUCACACUCUAUGCCUUCUGUACUGUGAUGUGUUUUCCCCUCUCUCUGGAAGUCUAAAUAAGCCCUUCCUGCCUUCGAUUGCUCUGCUAUGUAUUUCGUUCUAGAAUUGAGAUGUAACUCGUACGCACACGCAGGCAGCUUACCCUGGCCUUGUGUCUCAAAGUCUAACAGUGUCUCCUUUAGCGGAAUGUUCUGCCUUAUAGAGAGCUGAGGGGCAGAGCUUCAAGCACAAACUGGGACCUUAUGGGGCCCAGCUCUCUUUCUUCCCAGCAUCAGGAGGCUUCCUGCUCCGGAGGACACAGGCAGGGGCUUCUGCAAGCCGGCGCUGAAGCAUGGGGACAUCAAAUGGUCUUAAUCACUUCAAUGUAAACGAGCUCAAGUCAUGUGGAUUGAAUUUCUCUGAAAAUACACAAGGGCUUAAAGAGCAGAGACAGAGAA